rnacentral:misc_RNA from 1 species
GGGGAGAAGAAUAAUAUGCAGAGAUGAAUUAUCAUUAUUAUCAUGUUUGUUUCCUGAAGCCUUCAGCAUAAAGCUGAAGCAUCCAAUAUGGUGCCAGUCAUCAAGUUAGCUGUUUUGAAUAGGAACUAAUGGUAGUUUGCCUCCAUAUACAUCAGGGAGCUGGCUCUCAUCAAUGUCAUUAAGCAAAGUGGAUUUCAACUUUUUGUUCUCAACAAAAUUUAUCUUCUUUUUGGU